GAUGAACGCUGGCGGCGUGCCUAAUACAUGCAAGUCGAGCGAACAGAUGAGGAGCUUGCUCCUCUGACGUUAGCGGCGGACGGGUGAGUAACACGUGUAUAACCUACCUAUAAGACUGGGAUAACUUCGGGAAACCGGAGCUAAUACCGGAUAAUAUAUUGAACCGCAUGGUUCAAUAGUGAAAGACGGUUUUGCUGUCACUUAUAGAUGGAUCCGCGCCGCAUUAGCUAGUUGGUAAGGUAACGGCUUACCAAGGCAACGAUGCGUAGCCGACCUGAGAGGGUGAUCGGCCACACUGGAACUGAGACACGGUCCAGACUCCUACGGGAGGCAGCAGUAGGGAAUCUUCCGCAAGGGGCGAAAGCCUGACGGAGCAACGCCGCGUGAGUGAUGAAGGUCUUCGGAUCGUAAAACUCUGUUAUUAGGGAAGAACAAAUGUGUAAGUAACUAUGCACGUCUUGACGGUACCUAAUCAGAAAGCCACGGCUAACUACGUG
rnacentral:rRNA from 1 species